AAUCUGGAGACAGGUGCUGCAUGGCUGUCGUCAGCUCGUGUCGUGAGAUGUUGGGUUAAGUCCCGCAACGAGCGCAACCCUUGCCUUUAGUUGCCAGCAGUUCGGCUGGGCACUCUAAAGGGACUGCCGGUGUUAAACCGGAGGAAGGUGGGGAUGACGUCAAGUCCUCAUGGCCUUUAUGACCAGGGCUACACACGUACUACAAUGGCCGAUACAAAGGGCAAGCGACACUGCGAGGUGAAGCCAAUCCCGUAAAAUCGGUCUCAGUCCGGAUUGGAGUCUGCAACUCGACUCCAUGAAGUUGGAAUCGCUAGUAAUCGUGGAUCAGCAUGCCACGGUGAAUACGUUCCCGGGCCUU
rnacentral:rRNA from 1 species